GUUGGACUCGCUGCGGGGUGGGCGCUGGGGCCGAGCUCGGCAGGGCAGUUCGGGCCGGGGCUCUGCCGGGGCCCGGUUGGGGGAGAACGGCGGCGCUUCCCUCGUACAGACGCGGAACCCGGGCCGGGACCGGCCGGGGCGCGGGGACACGCCGGGCCGGCCCCGGGACCCCCCGAUCCCGCCGGGCCCGCAGCGCCGCCCGCACCCCCCGCGGGAUCGGAGCUCCUCCCUCUCGGGCACCCCCGAGGCCACCGCACCCCCCCCCACCGAAGAACAUCGCCCGCCUCCCCCUUCCCCGCGGCCCCAGGAGGUUCCCGCCCGCAGGGCCCCCCGGGAACGAGGGCUCUGGGGCCCGCCUGGGUUCCGGCCACGGGCCCGCUCCGGCCGCGGGGAGCCGGGGCAGGGAAGAACGGGGGCAGCCGCUCCCUCGUUCCUCCCGUGCUCCGGGACCCCGAGCAGAGCUGCCCGUCUGUCCCCGUGUCCCUGUGUCUGUCCUCAGGCGGCCCCAGGAGCUGGCGCUGACCGUGCCGCGGGUCGGGCACAGGCUGCUCCCAGCUCUGCCUGCGGAACUUCGGGAAUUGCCGACAGCAGUUCUUUGCCCUGCCAUCCAGAAGGUGCGGCUCUUCUGACACCUGCCAGACGGGGAAGGUCCUGCCUGGGAGGGAAACGGCUAUAGCGGAGGAAACCAAGAAACGCUCCAACCGGACGGUGCCGCGCGAGUCAAAGGAGGGAAGAAGCGCAGGCAAAUACAGUCAGGAAAUCCGCUUUUAUUAAAUCUCUGCAGCAUUAAAUCCCCCCUUCCCAGCCACGGGCCGGAGGGAGCGCGGCCGGCUGGGCUGUGCCCGGCUGGGGACGGGCACCAAUUCAUCGCUGCCGUGCUCAGGGAGGUUUUCCGGCCCUGUCCGGGAUUCGCCCAAUGGCUGCAAAGGUGCUCGUGUGACGUCCGAGCUCAUUUCCAAGGAUAAAGGAGCCAACCGAGUCGGGAGGGAUCCCUCGCUCCGAGGCAAAGGCGUCGGUCGAGUGUCGCCGCCUGGUCCCGCCUGCGGGGGUCGUCUCCUCCAGUUUCCCAGGGAGAAGAACAGGAACUCACAGCCACCAAGGCCUGACAGUCCCCUGCAGCCAGAGCUCAGCACACAGCCAGAGAGGCAAUUCCAGCAUCUAAAAGAAAAAAAGAAGAAAAAAGUGACUUAUUUUGUUUUAAAGUUAUUUUAAGUUGUUCCAAGCAAAGCAAGCCUUGCUCUGGUUUCAUUCACUGCCCUGCAGAUUUGCUCAAGUUUCACCCUCAGAAAUUUCUCUGCCUCUCCCCUCCUGACUGCCUCACUUUCUUCCAAAAUGUUCCUUCUCUCUGCUGCACAUUGCCACAGAUUUGACUCCCACAAUUUUCCCUACCUCUCCACAGCUGAUCACCUCAUGUAUACCUAAAUAUGUUCAUGCUCUACCCUACAGACCACCUCAAGUUUACUCUCAAAACUUUCCCUACCUGCGCAUCACUGACUACCUCCUUUUGACCUCCAAAUAUUCAUUCUCCACCCUGGAGAGUUUCUCAAGUUUUACCUGUCCCCUGAUGACUGCCUUAGUUUAUCCCAAAAUGUUCAUUCUCUCUGCCAGACACUGCCACACAUUUUAUCCCCAGAAUCUUCCCUGAGCCCACUGGAGUGUCCACUCCUGAUUGCCUCCUCUGCACCUCUCAGGAUUCAUUCUGGACCCUGGAGAUUACCUCGAAGAUUUCUGCCCUAAAUGUCCCUACCUGGCCACCACUGAUUCCCUCAGUUGACCUCAUGAUGUCCUUUCUCUCCCCUGGAGAUAACCUCGUUCAAAACCCCCAGAGUUUUAACUCAAAAUAUUCGUUCUAUGUCCUGAACAUUACCCCAAAUUUUACCCCUGUAAUUUUCCCCAUAUGUCCACAAAUGAUUACCCCAGUUUACCUCAGGAUGUACAUUCUCUGCUCCAUGUGACCUCAAAUUUGACAAACAGAAAUUUUCCCUCCCUGCCCAACACUGACUGCCUCACUUUACCCCGAGGUAUUCAUUCUCUCUGCUACAGAUUUUACUCCCAAAAUUCUCCUUACCUACCCACAUGUAAUCACCUCUUCUGUACAAAUACAUGUUCAUUCUCUGCCUUGUGGGCUACCUCCUGUUUACCCUAAAACACUCCCCAGCUGUCCACCACUGAGUACCUCAUUUAUCCUUCAAAAUAUUCACUCUCUGCCCUGGACGUUCCCUCAAGUUUUACCCCCAAAGGUUUCCCCUCCUGCCCACCCCUGACUGCCUCAGUGUCCAGCAGGAGGUACAUCCUCUCUGCUACAGGUCACCUCACACUGCACCCACUGCAUUUUCCCGACCUCUCCACAUCUCAGCAACUCACUUCUACGUCAAGAUGUUCA